UCUAUUCCAUGCCCUGACCAUAGGAAAGUUUUCUACAUGCAUACACCACUGUUCUCUAAAACGCACGCUUUGAAUGCAAAGAAAACCUGUCUUUUACUAAUAUUCUGAGACUUCUCCUCCUGCCAAUCUCGGUAUAUUGAAAAAAGUUCCAUUAGCACAUUCAGAUUUACUAUACCUGCUUCAACCACAAGGCAAUAAAA
rnacentral:lncRNA from 1 species